rfam:Oryza glaberrima chromosome 7 Oglab07_0029_6, whole genome shotgun sequence.
AAUAGAUGACGCCGUUGAUUUUUUCUCACAUGUUUGAUCAUUCGUCUUAUUUAAAAAAUUUACGUAAUUAUAAUUUAUUUUGUUAUAAGUUGUUUUAUUACUUAUAGUACUUUAAGUGUGAUUUAUAUCUUAUGUAUUUAUAUAGAAUUUUUGAAUAAGAUGAAUGGUUAAACAUGUGAGAAAAAGUCAACGGCGACGUAAAAC